rnacentral:rRNA from 1 species
UACGUAGGGUGCAAGCGUUGUUCGGAAUUAUUGGGCGUAAAGAGCUCGUAGGCGGUCUGUCACGUCGGCUGUGAAAACCCGAGGCUCAACCUCGGGCCUGCAGUCGAUACGGGCAAACUAGAGUACUGCAGGGGAGACUGGAAUUCCUGGUGUAGCGGUGAAAUGCGCAGAUAUCAGGAGGAACACCAGUGGCGAAGGCGGGUCUCUGGGCAGUAACUGACGCUGAGGAGCGAAAGCGUGGGGAGCGAACAGG